rnacentral:rRNA from 1 species
AGCAGCCAUUGCGGUAAUUCCAGCUCCAAUAGCGUAUAUUAAAGUUGCUGCGGUUAAAAAGCUCGUAGUUGAAUUUCGGAAUUGAUGCAUCGGUCGUGCCUUAAGGGGCAUGAACUGGUGUAGCCAAUUUCUCACCUUCUGGUGAAUUGUUGAUGUUCUUAAUGGGUGUCUCAAUGAACUAGAAUUUUUUACUUUGAAAAAAUUAGAGUGUUUAAAGCAGGCAUUGAUUUGCUUGAAUACAUUAGCAUGGAAUAAUGAAAUAGGACAGUGGUUCCGUUUUGUUGGUUUCUAGGAUCACGUAAUGAUUAAUAGGGACAGUUGGGGGCAUUAGUAUUCAAUUGUCAGAGGUGAAAUUCUUGGAUUUAUUGAAGACUAACUAUUGCGAAAGCAUUUGCCAAGGAUGUUUUCAUUAAUCAAGAACGAAAGUUAGGGGAUCAAAGACGAUUAAGUACGUCGUAGUCCUAACCAUAAACUAUACCAACUAGGAAUCAGACGAUGUUAAUUUUUUAAUGACUCGUUUGGUACCUUACG